rnacentral:lncRNA from 10 species
CGAGUCUGUUAAGGAUGGAAUAUUGGGGCCUUCCCCAUUCAAAUGCUAAAUCCCUAACCCCCAGUGUGGCUGUAUUUGGAGAUAGGGCUUCUAAGGCAAUAAUUAUGGUUAAAUGAGGUCAUAAGGGUGUGGCCCUGAUCUAACAGGAUUAGUGUCCUUAUAAGAGUGUGCUCUCUCUCCCUCUCCCUUUCCCUGUCCCACUUCCUCCUCCAUCUCCCUCUCUGCCUUUCUUCCUCUCUCUCCCUCUCUCCAUCACCAGAGCACACAGCAAGAAGCCAGACAUCUGUAAGCCAGGAAGACAGGCCUCCUCAGAGACCCCACAGGACCUAGAUCUGGACGACUUCCAGCCUCCAGAACUAAAUUAAGAGCUGAUGGAGUCCACCAAAUCCAGAGCCUCCCCCAAAGAAGAAGAAAUGGGACCCAGGAAGGAGGAAGGAGAAACAAAAGGAAUUCACAGGAUGAUGCUGAGGGGAAGCUUCAGGAAAGCAAUUUCUAAGGCCAGAGACCACCAGUCCAGAGGGAGAACUGAGAACUCCCGCAGGAUGCCACCAAGAAAACAAACAAAAAGAAUCCUACAGAAACAAUCUGCUUACAGACACAGCAUGACUACUUUG